rnacentral:tRNA from 1 species
GCCUGGUUGGCUCAGUCAGUUAAGUGUCUGACUUGGGCUCAGGUCAUGAUCUCGCAUGAUCGUCGUGGGUUCGAGCCCCAUGUCAGGCU